CGCCCCCUGGCGGCAAUCCUGAAGGACGGCGCCCGCGGUCCACGGGCCCCUGCAGUGUUCCAAACUGUUGAGAAAAGAACGACUCCAUCCUUCUUGGCUCCGGAAGCCUCCAACUGUCCACCCUCUCUGGGCCAUGGCAAAGGCAGUCGGAAAAAGCAAAAAUGAAAGCCGAGAUAGGCUAGAGCUCAAGCCUUCUGUACACAACUUGAAAAAAACGAAGCAGACCAAACUCACAGUGGGCAGCCUGGGACUGGGCCUGAUCGUCAUCCAACAUGGGCCCUACCUCCAGAUUAUCCACCUCAUCAAGAAGGGGGCUGCAGCCCAGGACGGGAAAUUCCAACCAGGUGAUGUUCUGAUUAGUGUCGGUCAUGCCAAUGUGCUAGGUUAUACACUUCGGGAAUUGUUAAAGCUUUUGCAACACAUCACCAUACAGUGCUACAAAUUAAGGUGUACCGAGAUUUUAUCGACAUACCCCAAGAAUGGCAAGAAAUAUAUGAUUUAAAUCCUGAGAUAAAACCCCCGGUAACAUUUAG
rnacentral:lncRNA from 1 species